ACCUACGGGGCGCAGCAGUAGGGAAUUUUCGUCAAUGGGCGCAAGCCUGAACGAGCAAUGCCGCGUGAACGAGGAAGGUCUUCGGAUCGUAAAGUUCUGUUGAAGGGGAAAAAGAGCGGAGAGAGGAAAUGGUCUCCGAUUGAUAUUACCCUUCGAGGAAGUCACGGCUAACUACGUGCCAGCAGCCGCGGUAAUACGUAGGUGGCGAGCGUUAUCCGGAAUGAUUGGGCGUAAAGGGUGCGUAGGCGGCCUGCUAAGUCUGGAGUGAAAGGUACCGGCUCGACCGGUACAGGCUCUGGAAACUG
rnacentral:rRNA from 1 species